rnacentral:pre_miRNA from 1 species
GACAGAUGAUGAUGAUGAUGAUGAUAAUGAUGAUGAAAAAUGUGCGCGUAAAUGUUUGUAACGAUUCUCAUCAUCAUUAUUAUCAUCAUCGUUUGCU